rnacentral:rRNA from 1 species
UACGAAGGGGGCUAGCGUUGCUCGGAAUCACUGGGCGUAAAGGGUGCGUAGGCGGGUUUUAAGUCAGAGGUGAAAUCCUGGAGCUCAACUCCAGAACUGCCUUUGAUACUGAAAGUCUUGAGUAUGGGAGAGGUGAGUGGAACUGCGAGUGUAGAGGUGAAAUUCGUAGAUAUUCGCAAGAGCACCAGUGGCGAAGGCGGCUCACUGGCCCAUUACUGACGCUGAGGCACGAAAGCGUGGGGAGCAAACAGG